rnacentral:tRNA from 1 species
CAGUGCGUAGCGCAGUCUGGUAGCGUGGGAGCCUUGGAUGCUCUGGGUCGUGGGUUCAAAUCCUACCGCACUGA